rnacentral:siRNA from 1 species
GAAGAAUACAUAUUGUCGUUGGUC